rnacentral:rRNA from 1 species
AGAGUUUGAUCCUGGCUCAGAUUGAACGCUGGCGGCAGGCCUAACACAUGCAAGUCGAACGGUAACAUUUCUAGCUUGCUAGAAGAUGACGAGUGGCGGACGGGUGAGUAAUGCUUGGGAACUUGCCUUUGCGAGGGGGAUAACAGUUGGAAACGACUGCUAAUACCGCAUAACGUCUACGGACCAAACGGGGCUUAGGCUCCGGCGCAAAGAGAGGCCCAAGUGAGAUUAGCUAGUUGGUAAGGUAAUGGCUUACCAAGGCAACGAUCUCUAGCUGUUCUGAGAGGAAGAUCAGCCACACUGGAACUGAGACACGGUCCAGACUCCUACGGGAGGCAGCAGUGGGGAAUAUUGCACAAUGGGGGAAACCCUGAUGCAGCCAUGCCGCGUGUGUGAAGAAGGCCUUCGGGUUGUAAAGCACUUUCAGUUGUGAGGAAAAGUUAGUAGUUAAUACCUGCUAGCCGUGACGUUAACAACAGAAGAAGCACCGGCUAACUCCGUGCCAGCAGCCGCGGUAAUACGGAGGGUGCGAGCGUUAAUCGGAAUUACUGGGCGUAAAGCGCACGCAGGCGGUUUGUUAAGCUAGAUGUGAAAGCCCCGGGCUCAACCUGGGAUAGUCAUUUAGAACUGGCAGACUAGAGUCUUGGAGAGGGGAGUGGAAUUCCAGGUGUAGCGGUGAAAUGCGUAGAUAUCUGGAGGAACAUCAGUGGCGAAGGCGACUCCCUGGCCAAAGACUGACGCUCAUGUGCGAAAGUGUGGGUAGCGAACAGGAUUAGAUACCCUGGUAGUCCACACCGUAAACGCUGUCU